rnacentral:rRNA from 1 species
CCCUUAGAUGUUCUGGGCCGCACGCGCGCUACACUGAUACGUUCAACGAGCUCCUUGACCGAGAGGCCCGGGUAAUCUUUGAAACCGUAUCGUGAUGGGGAUAGAACAUUGCAAUUAUUGUUCUUCAACGAGGAAUGCCUAGUAAGCGCGAGUCAUCAUCUCGCGUUGAUUACGUCCCUGCCCUUUGUACACACCGCCCGUCGCUCCUACCGAUUGAACGUGCUGGUGAAGCGUUAGGACUGGAGGUCUUGGGCCGGUUCGCCUGCCCAUAGCUUCGGGAAGUUCGUUGAACCCUCCCGUUUAGAGGAAGGAGAAGUCGUAACA